GAUGAACGCUGGCGGCGUGCCUAAUACAUGCCAGUCGAGCGAACAGACGAGGAUCUUGCUCCUCUGACGUUAGCGGCGGACGGGUGAGUACCACGUGGAUAACCUACCUAUAAGACUGGGAUAACUUCGGGAAACCGGAUCUAAUACCGGAUAAUAUAUUGAACCGCAUGGUUCAAUAGUGAAAGACGGUUUUGCUGUCACUUAUAGAUGGAUCCGCGCCGCAUUAGCUAGUUGGUAAGGUAACGGCUUACCAAGGCAACGAUGCGUAGCCGACCUGAGAGGGUGAUCGGCCACACUGGAACUGAGACACGGUCCAGACUCCUACGGGAGGCAGCAGUAGGGAAUCUUCCGCAAUGGGCGAAAGCCUGACGGAGCAACGCCGCGUGAGUGAUGAAGGUCUUCGGAUCGUAAAACUCUGUUAUUAGGGAAGAACAAAUGUGUAAGUAACUAUGCACGUCUUGACGGUACCUAAUCAGAAAGCCACGGCUAACUACGUG
rnacentral:rRNA from 1 species